AGCUUUGCGCAGUGGCAGUAUCGUAGCCAAUGAGGUUUAUCCGAGGCGCGAUUAUUGCUAAUUGAAAAAGAUCUCAAUGCCUAAGUUUCAUCUGAUUAAAGUAGAAUUCCGGGGUAUGAACCAGACAUUAGUAUUUAAUUAAAUUUAAAUAAAUUAAUUUUUUGA
rnacentral:snRNA from 1 species